rnacentral:rRNA from 1 species
GACUGUACGCAGUACAAAAAAUGAAUCAAAACUUUCAACAACGGAUCUCUUGGCUCUGGCAUCGAUGAAGAACGCAGCGAAAUGCGAUAAGUAAUGCGAAUUGCAGAAUUCAGUGAAUCAUCGAAUCUUUGAACGCACAUUGCGCCCGCCAGUAUUCU